CAAAGGGAGAGGACAAGCUUUUUUUGAAACAAAAAUUUAAAAAAAUGUGAAAUUAAAAAAAUAUAAAAAAUGUGAGUUUAAAAAAGUUUUUAAAAAAACCUUAAAAAUGUAAGAAUAGGACAAACAUAAAAGAUCCUGUUCUACAUGGUAACUUGAGAUGGAAAAACUUCGGGCUCUCGUAUGGUAAGUAAACUUUUAUAUUUUCGAAAUUUUUAUUUUACUUUUUUUUUCUUUUUUUGCAAAUUUAGGUAUUUUUAGACAAAUAAAGUUGCCGGCAGCACUUAGGAGGAAUUGUACUGUAACGACGAGUCAGCCCAAUCUACAGAAAGGAUUUCAGCA